UCCUGAUUUCCAGCGCGUUUGUCUGUCAGCUAGGGAUUAACUUGUCAGCUUCUUUACCUGACGUUUUACAGUUUCAGCAACGAGGUAUACAUUUACUCGACAUAUGAACCUUUUUGAAAGCGGGAUGGUGAACUCUCUGUGCUCUCCACAAGUAUCCCAGGCUCACGGCGAGUGUAGGUUUAUUACAGAGUUUGUAUGAGCGAACAAAUCUCGUUGAAAUAAAUAUGCUGAUUUGAAAAUAAAACAGUAGCUUGACGUUGCUGCUACUCAAACCCGCCAUUAUUUGCCAUUUUAAGCUGUUUUAGCCGCUGCGAAUUUUUCCCGUCGCCUUCUGUAUAUAUUUUAUAUACAGAAAGCCGUCGUCGCCUUCUACAAACUACAAACUCAAUAAACCUACACUCGCCGUGAGCCUGGGCUACCUGUGUCCUCUCCCGUUUCUACAAAGUUAUUCGACUCUAUGAAACGCUUUUACAUCCUUUCAUUAUGAGAUUUGUGGUGAGCGGCCCUUUUGCAAAGUUGCAAAGAGUUUUCCUGCAACGAUUCCAGGAAGAAUUCGCUGGUAAAGCGAGAGAAACUGCUUGACUCAAAAGCCGGCCACGGCAGUCAGAGCAAAGGCGAUUGAUGCCCCACUACAUCAGUCGAACGACUAAUUGCAACUCGUACCUAGGACGUCCACCCUUUACUCUAUCACGCAUUACCUCAAAUACAAGGGCCAACUAGGGAGCUACUCUUCCAUAUGAAUACAACCAAGAACCGCAACAUAUUCUGACACAGGAUAGUGAAAGUUGACAAACUGAGCCGUUUGUAAAAUGUAUCAUCAUGAAAAUAUAAUAUUGUUUAAAAAUAUAUACUUUUCUGUGGAAUUCUACUUACAGUAUGACCUGCUUUUUUACUCUAACUUUCUAACUUUAUUCUCUUUUAUAAUAGCGGAGCCAGCGCGGAGCUCCAUAGCUAUAGAAAUAUGCUAUAAAAAUCAUUCGCUUGUGUCGACGAGUUCCUUGCUAGCAGAAAUUCGACAACUUCACAGUUUACAAAAAAAGCGAACAACACAACCACAACAAAAAGCAAAAAAAAAAAACUGCCAAGGUGAGUUUUAGACGACAAUUUGUAUUGAGAAUAUGAAAGUUAUUUUUCUUUUAUUGUUGUGCUUUUAUAAUGCUCGUUUGUUCGUUUUUUUUUUCCCAUAACCAAUCGCUCAGACAAAAACACCGUACCAGCUUUAGUUUGACGUCAAGAUGCCAUAUCAAAGUCAUAUUAUAUCCUUGUUUUGAUGUAAAUACGUAAAUACUUACAAGUUCUAUAAAUUCAGGCGUAUAUUCCUCACGGUAAGUAAGAAUUUAACGACAGAAAUACGUAGUAGUCUAGUUACUGUAUCAAUGCCACUUAGCUUGUUGGAUUUAUAUAUUUGUUUCUAGAAUUUGCUUUGAGAAUUCGUGGUCUAAUCAAACAUGUUGAGCAGAACACAUCUUUUGAUAUUCUUCGUUCUCUCUAUACUUUAUUGACUGCGUUGAGAUAUUUAAUGAAGGCUGACAAAUAUUAUCCUGUCAUAUAUUGCUAAAGAAGACCUUUCUUGUCUUUAUAUUCUGUGUAUUUAGUCUUUUCAAAGAUACAGAAACAUUAUUUCAUUAUUACAUCAUUUCAACAUUAUCAUAACUACUUAAACUUUACAAUUACAAAAGAAUUUUCUCUUCGAAAAAAAUGCAACCCUUAUUAGCUAUAUUGUUUUUGCUUUUAUAUUGUCUGCAUCUUGCAUACUUUCUAAUGUGUUUAUUUAUUUUUAUUCAAAUAGUUGUGGAAAAUUAGUAAGGUUAUAAAUGGCAUGAUGAAAAUAUUGUUUUGAAAUAAAAAAAAAUAAUUAAUUGUUUUCACUUUUAUUUAGGUAAAACCAACCAAGGACUACCUAAAGGCCAUGAUUGAUUCUAAAGGCUGAAAGGCAUAAUAAU